rfam:Setaria italica strain Yugu1 chromosome IV, whole genome shotgun sequence.
UUUUGAGUGGUGAUGAACAAUUGUGUUUUGGAUAGUUUCUGAUACGGCUACAUUGUUGUAGUCGUUGAAGACCAAACCCUUGGCUGUCUGAACUCAAAU